rnacentral:rRNA from 1 species
CCUACGGGUGGCAGCAGUGAGGAAUAUUGGUCAAUGGACGCAAGUCUGAACCAGCCAUGCCGCGUGCAGGAAGACGGCUCUAUGAGUUGUAAACUGCUUUUGUACGAGGGUAAACGCAGAUACGCGUAUCUGUCUGAAAGUAUCGUACGAAUAAGGAUCGGCUAACUCCGUGCCAGCAGCCGCGGUAAUACGGAGGAUUCAAGCGUUAUCCGGAUUUAUUGGGUUUAAAGGGUGCGUAGGCGGUCGGAUAAGUUAGAGGUGAAAUCCCGAGGCUCAACUUCGGAAUUGCCUCUGAUACUGUUCGUCUAGAGAGUAGUUGCGGUAGGCGGAAUGUAUGGUGUAGCGGUCAAAUGCUUAGAGAUCAUACAGAACACCGAUUGCGAAGGCAGCUUACCAAGCUACUUCUGACGUUGAGGCACGAAAGCGUGGGGAGCAAACAGGAUUAGAUACCCUUGUAGUC